rnacentral:tRNA from 1 species
AUUUGGUGUAAUGGCACGAAGAAUUUUGAUGUCUUAAGAUCUAACAGAAAGAAAUUAAUA